rnacentral:snoRNA from 1 species
CGAUCGUGGAUGAACCCUCACAUGCAUCCUUGGAAAAUCUGAACACAAUGAGUGAGAACUCAUACCGUCCCUCAUCGAAACUGGGUCC